AGCGAACGCUGGCGGCAGGCUUAACACAUGCAAGUCGAACGGUAAGGCUCUUCGGGGUACACGAGUGGCGAACGGGUGAGUAACACGUGGGUGAUCUGCCCUGCACUUCGGGAUAAGCCUGGGAAACUGGGUCUAAUACCGGAUAGGACCACUGCCUGCAUGGGUGGGGGUGGACAGCUUUUGCGGUGUGGGAUGGGCCCGCGGCCUAUCAGCUUGUGGGUGGGGUGAUGGCCUACCAAGGCGACGACGGGUAGCCGGCCUGAGAGGGUGACCGGCCAGACCGGGACUGAGAUACGGCCCAGACGCCUACGGGAGGCAGCAGUGGGGAAUAUUGCACAAGGGGCGCAAGCCUGAUGCAGCGACGCCGCGUGAGGGAUGACGGCCUUCGGGUUGUAAACCUCUUUCAGCACCGACGAAGCGCAAGUGACGGUAGGUGCAGAAGAAGGACCGGCCAACUACGUGCCAGCCGCCGCGGUAA
rnacentral:rRNA from 1 species